CGACUUAUUUUGGAACGUGAGCGGAAGUUGCUUCCACUGUCUCUUCGAGGGCCUUUCACAGAAAGAAAGAAAGAAAGAAAGAAAGAAAAAGAAGACAAGAAGCGUGCAUGAAAGAAGUUUGAAAACGGGGGCCACUUGAGUUUGGUGUCGUCGGCGUGCCGGCGGGAUGCGCCGGCAUGGAGGAGGCGGAGCAAAGCCGCUACGUGGCCCAGCUGAAGGCGGAGUUCGACAGCUGCGACGCGACGUCCUCGGGCUUCCUGGGCCCGCAGGAAGUGACGGCGCUGUGCGGGAAGUUGCAUCUCGACGUUCAACUGCCGCUCGUGCUCGACUCGCUGCUCGGGGGAGGAGCUUACGCGAGGGUGGACUUUGAGGCGUUCAAGGACAACUUUGUGGACGUUUUGUCUCGCUCGCUGGACUUGACGGCAGAUGACGACAGCAGAUGCCAGCAGCCAGUUGUUGCGGACGAAGUGAAGCCAAAGUUCGUGAAGGGCGGGAAACGUUACGGCCGCCGCUCACGUCCCGACAUUAAGCCGUCGCGACCGUCGGACGACUCGCCGCCGCCGCCGCCGUGCACGGGCGAUACCGUGCGGUCGUCACCGGGGGGGGCGCGCGGGCCCAAAGUACGCCGAUCCACGUGCCCGGACAGUGUGGAGCUUUCUAGAAGCAACUACUUCUGCGGUCCUCGGGGGCACCGCGUCGGCGAGCCCCGCUCGGAGGUCUGUCCGCCGGACGGUCGAACGCGUGACGAACACGUCGUUUACUGUGUGCAGAGCCCGAAGUCCGACGAGGAGGCGGGAAGUCCCGAGGACGGCGCCUCGGUCCGCUUUCGGUCCAAAGCUUCCGAGCCGGAAGAGGAGGAGUCGGCGCGCGACGGCCCCGUCGGUCGGCGGCCGGGCGCUCAGGAGCGCGGGAAGUCGGAGCAGGUCGCGCCGGGACACUUCCAGAACCUUCUUUGCGGCUGCGCUCCCGUCUGCUGCUCGACGCCGCGCAAGGUCGCGCGCAUCGUCACAACGCACGCACGGGCACGCACGCACGCACGCACAGAGUGUCGGGAAGAUGACUUUGGAAAUACGGCGCCGGAGGACGGGCCGACGACGGUCACGGCGGGUCCCGAAGUCCUCAGCCGGCUGGACGACGGCUCGGGACGCGCCAGCCCCGAGAGAGUCGUGGCCCUGUGGGCCGAGGAGGGCGUCCGCGACGGCCGGGACGUCCUGCGGACGCUGGACUUCCCCGCGGAGGAGCGCGUGAGUUUGCGUGAGCUGACGUCGGCCCUGGACAACGAACUCGCGGUCAGCGGGAACCGAAUCCACCGGGCGGCGCUCAUCUGCUACAAGAAUGAAAUCCGGCACCUGCGGGCGCGGGCGGAGCAGGCGCGCGGCGAGCGGGACAAAGCCGGGGCCGACCUGGAACGGGCGGAGCGCAGGAACCUUCGGCUGGUGCGCGAGGCGGACGAGCGGCACGCCGGCAUGGAGGAGCUGCACCGGACCGGGAUCAGAAAGCUGGAGCGGGACUUCCGGGAGCGUCUGGCGGCGCAGCGCGGGCAAGCGGAGCAGGAGAGCGCCGACGCCGUGCAGCAGCUGGAACAGGAACGCCAAAAGCUGCAGCGACAACUGACGAUGCUCAGGGCGCAGGAGGCGGGGCUACAGGAGGAGCUCGGCGGCGCCGCGCAGGAGAACCGACGUCUGCGGGAGGAGCUCGUCGACGUGAGGCGGCGGUUAAACGAGGCGGAAAGCGGCGCCCGACGUUUGCACGCCGACUUUAACCGGCUGCUGCACCACAAGUGGAGCAGCUCGGACGCCGUCGACAGCGCCGAAGACGAACUGGCACGGCUCCUCCGAGACUACGAGCACCGCUGCAGAGAGCUGCGGGACAAAAACGACGAGCUGAGUUCCGAGUUGGAGCUGAUGAGGAGUCACGAGAAGAGCGACAGGAAGUCGCCGCACGCCGCCGCCGCCGCCGCCGAACUCUGCUGGUCCGAAGCGCCAUCUGCCAGCGAGUUGGACUCUGACGAUUGCGACACGAUGAGGCGUCUCUCCGCGGCCCGGCCGGACGAUGCAACCGCGGCCGUCAGCGUCGAGACGGAAUUGGCCGUGGAGAAGCUGAAGAGCGAACACGAGCGUGAGAUGCGGCGGCUCGACAUCCAGACGGAGACGCAGGUCAACUACUACAAGUGCGGUCUGGACAGGAUGAGGCAGAGCAUGGAAGCGGAGCGCCAGGACAUGGCUCAGGCCUUCAAGCUGGAGAUCAGCGAGCUGGAGGAUCAGAAGGCGGAGGCGGAGCGUCAGGCCGAGCUUCUGAAGGAGGCGCUGGACAAACUCCACAAUCAGAUCCAACAUGGCGGACGGUCUGCCGAGGAGGAGCGCAGGAUGCGACGGGAGCGAGCCGACUCGGAGCGGAACUUCGCCCGAGAGAUGGGAAACCUGGUCCGGAGGUUGAACGCCGAGAAGGAGCAGCUGGAGGCGGAGCUUAAGCUCAAGAUGGACCGGGAAGUCAUGGUGGUCAGCGGCGGGUUAAAGUCCCGUUGCGGCUCGGCGCGCGGGGAGGAGGAGGCGGCGCCGCCGAAGGUCAGCGUGGCCUCCUCCGCCAGGGGCGCCUGCGGGGGGCCGGGAGGAGGAGGCUGGAACGGGAGCGACAGGAACGGACGUGGCUGGAGCGGGAGAAGGAAAAGAUGGAGGAAGAGGAACAUCUCCAGGAGGAAAAGAGGAGGCCGGAGCAGGAGGCGUGUCUCCCGAGGGAGCAGGUGCGCCCCCUACAGCCCCGAGGAGGUCCGACCCGAGGAGAACGUCUUUGACCGGGAGGGAACGGCCGCGUCUGGUGGCUCCGCUCCGCUCCGGACCGGCGGCUACACGAAGAUGGCGGACCAGCUCUCCGCACGGAUCGUGGAGAUGGCGAACGCCGUGUCAGGUCCUUUGAGCGGGACAAGCGGAAGAUGAAGAAACAGCUCGAGGAGAUGGAAAACCUGGUUCUGCUUCUCCGCAAGGCUCCCCUGAGGUUAGCGGAGGACGACGCCGCGCUCUCUGAUCACGUCCCGCAAUCCGCCUCAGCUCGCCCUGACGCAUCUCCAUCAUCGCUAACCCGAUCGCCGGCACGGACGCGUCUUCCGGGUUCAUUGCGCGCACGCGCAAUGCACAUCCAUUCACUCGCUGCGUGCGCGUGCCAGGACUCACCUGGAGGAGGCGCGCUCGGACAACGUCGCCCUGCACGAGCGUCUCCGCGUCCUGCAGCAGGAAGUUGUGCGGCCGGACGACGAGGUCGUCAACGACAGGCCGGAGGAAGUUGGAGGAGGAGCAACAUCACCAGAGCAGCAGACAGGAAGUGGAAAGGCUUCACAAGGAGGAGCGGCACGAGAAGGCGCUGACGGCCGCGCGGCACAGGACGCGGGAGCUGGAGGCGGAGCUGGAGGCUUGU